rnacentral:rRNA from 1 species
AGGAAGGUGGGGAUGACGUCAAGUCAUCAUGGCCCUUACGACCAGGGCUACACACGUGCUACAAUGGCGCAUACAAAGAGAAGCGACCUCGCGAGAGCAAGCGGACCUCAUAAAGUGCGUCGUAGUCCGGAUUGGAGUCUGCAACUCGACUCCAUGAAGUCGGAAUCGCUAGUAAUCGUGGAUCAGAAUGCCACGGUGAAUACGUUCCCGGGCCUUGUACACACCGCCCGUCACACCAUGGGAGUGGGUUGCAAAAGAAGUAGGUAGCUUAACCUUCGGGAGGGCGCUUACCACUUUGUGAUUCAUGACUGGGGUGAAGUCGUAACAAGGUAACCGUAGGGGAACCUGCGGUUGGAUCAC